rnacentral:rRNA from 1 species
AAGGCAUUCGUGUCGUAAAACUCUGUAGUAGGGGAAGAAAGAAAUGACAGUACCCUAAAAGAAAGCCCCGGCUAACUACGUGCCAGCAGCCGCGGUAAUACGUAGGGGGCAAGCGUUAUCCGGAAUAACUGGGCGUAAAGGGUGCGCAGGUGGUUUAACAAGUUAGUGGUGAAAGGCAUAGGCUCAACCAAUGUAAGCCAUUAAAACUGUUUAACUUGAGUGCAGGAGAGGAAAGUGGAAUUCCUAGUGUAGCGGUGAAAUGCGUAGAUAUUAGGAGGAAUACCAGUGGCGAAGGCGACUUUCUGGACUGCAACUGACACUGAGGCACGAAAGCGUGGGGAGCAAACAGGAUUAGAUACCCUGGUAGUCCACGCCGUAAACGAUGAGUACUAGGUGUCGGGUGAAGAACUCGGUGCCGAAGUUAACACAUUAAGUACUCCGCCUGGGGAGUACGCUCGCAAGAGUAAAACUCAAAGGAAUUGACGGGGACCCGCACAAGCAGCGGAGCAUGUGGUUUAAUUCGAAGCAACGCGAAGAACCUUACCUAAACUUGACAUACCAAUGACAGCCUUUUAAUCGAGGACUUUUACCUUCGGGUAGACAAUGGAUACAGGUGGUGCAUGGUUGUCGUCAGCUCGUGUCGUGAGAUGUUGGGUUAAGUCCCGCAACGAGCGCAACCCUUGUCGAUAGUUACCAGCAGUAAGAUGGGGACUCUAUCGAGACAGCUAAGGACAACUUAGAGGAAGGUGGGGAUGACGUCAAAUCAUCAUGCCCCUUAUGUUUAGGGCUACACACGUGCUACAAUGGUCAUUACAGAGAGAAGCGAAACUGCGAAGUCAAGCAAACCUCAAAAAGAUGAUCCAAGUUCGGAUUGUAGGCUGAAACUCGCCUACAUGAAGUUGGAGUUGCUAGUAAUCGCGAAUCAGAAUGUCGCGGUGAAUGCGUUCCCGGGUCUUGUACACACCGCCCGUCA